rnacentral:rRNA from 1 species
AUUGAACGCUGGCGGCAUGCCUUACACAUGCAAGUCGAACGGUAACAGGUCCUCGGAUGCUGACGAGUGGCGAACGGGUGAGUAAUGCAUCGGAACGUGCCCAGUAGUGGGGGAUAGCCCGGCGAAAGCCGGAUUAAUACCGCAUACGACCUGAGGGUGAAAGGGGGGGAUCGCAAGACCUCUCGCUAUUGGAGCGGCCGAUGUCAGAUUAGCUAGUUGGUGGGGUAAAGGCCUACCAAGGCAACGAUCUGUAGUUGGUCUGAGAGGACGACCAGGCAAACUGGGACUGAGACAAGGCCCAGACUCCGACGGGAGGCAGCAGUGGGGAAUUUUGGACAAUGGGCGCAAGCGUGAUCCAGCAAUGCCGCGUGGAGGAAGAAGGCCUUCGGGUUGUAAACUGCUUUUGUCAGGGAAGAAAUCUUCUGGGUUAAUACCUCGGGAGGAUGACGGUACCUGAAGAAUAAGCACCGGCUAACUACGUGCCAGCAGCCGCCGUAACAC